UCUAUAUAUAUUUUUUUUCUAUUUUUCUCUCUUUAUAUAUAUAUAUAUAUAUAUAUAAUUUUUUUUUUUUUUUUUUUUUUUUUUUUUUUUUUAUAAACGUGUUACGUAUACUGUGUACACUAAAGUUUUGGCUGGCAGUCAACUCCUGAUGACCCUGCUGUGCUUAUCUGAUGGGAGGGGCCGAAGGAAGAAAGAGAAGUAUAAGGGAAGAAUGAAACGAAAGAUAAAGGAUGGCUACCAGCCGUCCGCUAGCGCCCACGCCUCUACCCCUCCAAAAGAAAACAACAACGAGCCGGGUCCAUAGCAAGUGGGAUGGAUACAGGGCAAAGUAUAGGGCCUAACGUAUACGUUUCAGUUAAACUAAAUAAACACGAGUUCCCCCUUCCCCCCAAAUCUCGGAACUCGACUCAUGCCGGAACAAGCAAACAAGAAAAGAGCCUUAAUGAAAACUGAUUGAAAUUUUGUAACUCGUGUUCAGCUCGGGCAUGGACUACCCUGUUUCCCUUGAUGAAUAAUGAUUUCUGUUUUCCCCCUUUCUUUUAGAUUUGUAUCUAAUUUAUACGCGAAUGGCGGAGCAUCUGCAUUUGACUAGCUACCACGGAUUGAUUUCCUUUUCAUAUCCCGUUACAUUAUGCAACGCUUCUUUUGUUGCUUCAAGUUCGAUCCUGCGUGCCGAUCAAUUCACAAGUGGUCCAAUUCGCUCUCUCAAGUAUAUUGAUGUGUCAUCGUUCUUCCUGCUCGAGGAAGAAAAGAAAAAAAAAAAAUGUCCCUUCUUAUUCCUUUUGCAGACUGGAGGUCAGCAGCACACGCUGUGCACGAAGAGCUAAAUACGUACAAGAUUGGAUGGACUGCUGUGGCCGUCGCUUUCCAAUCUUGAUUACACAAGCUGAAAUGAUUCUCUCUCCUGGAAAUAAUUCAGACAGAGCGGCGUGGAUAUGUACACAACAGAGCGAAAGCGAAAAGGAAAAAAAAAAAAAGGGAAGAAAUCCAGCGAACCGGGUUAAUUCAUCUCUUUCGUCCGUCAGUCCAUUAAAAGGAAGCUGCCCACCGUAUGCUCUGAGCUUGCACAUGGUUCUCUCUUUUUCUAUUUUUUUUUUUUUUUUUUCGCAUUCUUUUUUUCUUUUUUUUUUUAAAGGAUACUCGGGGAUUAUGGGAAAACAAGGAAACCUACAGCAAAUAUGAACUUUGGUUUUCAUUCUACUAUGGAUAUACUACAUCAUUAAUCGGCGAACGGUAUGGUCCUAAAAGUGAGACCUGGUGAUUCCCGAGCUUUUCUGUAUGGACGGCUGAUGGAUGAUUCCUUUCAAAAUCAUCUGUCCAGCUGAUGGUUAGGAGACCGAAUGUUUAUUUCGCAAUGGAUGCGCCCAUAAUAUGGAAGGAACACCAACUACCACCACGCCCCUUUUAUCGUUGGGCAUGGGAAAGUGCUGCUGUGCAUUAUCCUUUUCUUUUUGUAUUUAUUUCCCUCUUUCUCUCUAUCUAAAAGAUUAAAAUAAUAUCGUUAAUGUUUAGAUCUUUUAUCUUUGAUGUUUAGGUCGUUAAUUCUGCUCUCACUGCGCUGGCAUAAUUUAUCGUCCGAAUGACCCGCAGAGUUGACUGUACAGCACCAGGCCAUAUGGUGCAGUAAAUUUAGUCAUUCAAACGAUGCGCAGAGCACGACCACAGAGCGUGCGAAAAACCUAAUGACGGGAAGAUAUUACGAUGAAACGCGUCACGCCUUUUUAAUUAUUCCCUGAGGCUAACAUAUGUAAUGGACUUCGCGUUAAUUCGAUGUGCGAAAAAAGAUGACAUUUAGACGAAGGAACGAUUAAAUCUUUCAGCAAAGAGAGAUGAAGACAGAAUUUAAAAGGACCUAGAGCGCCCAUCCGCACGCAUGACAUUAUAAAAUUUCUUAGAAUUAUACAACUAAUAUAAGAAGAUUGUGCAAGAGACCCCAUCAACCUAAAUAGUAAAGAAGAUUAUAUUCCACCAAAGAAAAAGGAUGCAGCAUGAACUCAAUUCCAUUUUCUCCGAAGAUGGGUCCAGUUUUCACGAGCAUCUGUCGAAACUGUCAAAGAGGUUCAUAGCCAGCGUGACAUCACUAAACCAGGUCCGUGUUUUUGAAGAAAGAAAACUAUUUUCGUACUUUUUAUGGCAUCGAACUGUGUAUUUCCUUUCCCCUUCAAAAUAAGCAGCAGGCUAGACUUACUGGUAGGAUCCCCCUCAGUAUAUCCCAUCCGGCCUAUCGUAAAAAACCGGAUUUUUUUUAUAUCUUGUGUAUACAAGUAGUAUCUGUGUUACACUAUAGGAGGAAAUGAUCCUGCUGCUGGCCAAAGAAAGUCACCCGCUAGAUUUCUCCCUUCCGGUGAAAACUCUGCGGGGUUUAUUCAGCCAACUGCAGUGAGUUGUCAUGGUACUCACAACGCUUUGUAGAUCAUUGUUACCUUACUUUCUAUAGGACCCAAUGGACUUGUUUUGCUUUUGAUGAGCAGCUUCCAAAAAUGUUUUGGACUUUGCCUACGGUAUUUCCUUAUCGGCAAUUGGCUUGCUUUUCACAAGAUUUCUUUUGAGAGAGGAAAUCAACCAUUACCAAAAAGAAAGACCGAUAAAUAACGUUGGACUAGUGGACACGUUUCCUUUUUGAAAUGCAACUGAUGUCGAUACAAUUUUGCUGCGACCCUAUAACAGGACACAAUGCUUCUUCAUCUGGUGAGCUAUAAACAAAAUGGUUAUACAUGUAAACCCUGUCCCAUACUAAUGCAGUUGUCAUCCUAUAAACCAAUCAACUCUGUAGGAUGGAGCUUUUUGGCGUCUUACAAAGGAGGCUUUCCAAGCUUUUAGCUCUCAAGUUGGAGACGGGACGGAAAUAUCACAAUUAGUGUCCUUUUAGAUACAAACCCCUCAAGUCGACAUAUUAGUAUAGAAAUCGGAUUUCCUUUGGCGGCAGAAAGCAGUGGUAUAAAAACUACGAAGCGUCUUGCUGUAUAAUUAUAUGUUGUUUAGUUGAGAGAUAAUUUUGCAAUUUGCAAUUAAACAAUUGCAAUUAUGCAAUUGUGCAAUUUCCUCUAGAGGUAGUUACUAAGUUGAAAUUAAUGGGUCUGAUAAAUUGCAAAUUUCGUGUAGAAUCUAUAAACAAAAUUCGAAUCGUAUGUUGUCUAGCCUUACGAAUGGAAGUAGGUGCUUUAUUUUGAAUAACCUAUGUUAGAAAAAAAAGUGAAUGUAGAAAAUAACGUUUGAAAAUGCCAAUUGAACAAUUUAAUAAACAUGGGGUUGAGUUAUCAUUUUAGAAAUACACAUGUCGACGGUG